AUUGAACGCUGGCGGCAGGCCUAACACAUGCAAGUCGAACGAGUGGCGGACGGGUGAGUUAUGUCUGGGAAACUGCCUGAUGGAGGGGGAUAACUCCUGGAAACGGUAACUAAUACCGCCUACCAUCGGAUGUGCCCAGAUGGGAUUAGCUAGUAGGUGGGGUACUGGCUCACCUAGGCGACGAUCCCUAGCUGGUCUGCGAGGAUGACCAGUCACACUGGAACUCAGAUACGGUCUAUACUCCAACGGGAGGCAGGGGUGGGGAUUAUAUCACAAUGGGCGCAAGUGUGAUGUGGCCAUUGCGCGUGAGUGAAGAAGGCCUUCGGGUUGUAAAGCACUUUCAGCGAGGAGGCGUUACUCGCAGAAGAAGCACCGGCUAACUCCGUGCCAGCAGCCGCGGGAAUUC
rnacentral:rRNA from 1 species